UCGCAUGAUGGAAGCUUAUCAUUCUUCUGUGUUCCAAGGAGAGUGCGCAUUCCUUCAGCACUGUAAAAUAAGGAGAUUUCUACCUGCCUUGAAAUAGAGGCUGGAUGGUAGUAUAUUUCUCCUACAUAA